CUUCUCUAAUGAGAAGAAGGAAAAGCAGCAGCAGCUGGUAAAUGAUUUCCUGGUCUCCCCCUGUGAGUCAGUCUCAGCUACAGAUUUGUAGUCGUCCCCAGAAAGGGAGGACCUUGCUUCUCUCUGUAUGAACAGUUCUGGGACCCCCACGGUGAAUUUCCUACGAAGAAGCUCACAUACCCACAGCUCUCCACACUCUGAUAAAUACUUUCUUCUGUUCCCUGCUCACCCACUCAGCUCCGUCCCCCUCAGCCCAGUGUCCUUUAUACAUUCACCUGAUUGACUGGUCUUUCCAGACGUCAUGUGUUUGUAUGAGAGGCCCUUCAGCCAACAUUAGUUGGUGUUCAUGAACCUGGCCCUGUGCUAAACAGUGGAGAUUGAAAGAGAUGAGACAUAAGCCCAAGGGGAAAUGUGUUCUUGUCAAACAGAAAAGUGGGAAACAAAACUGUGCAAAUGGGGCACCUGUACUCAAAAGAAAAUGUUUCCAGGAAAAAUCACAUUGCCAAUCAACACAGCAGACCCAGCUAACUGCCUCUUGUUCUGAAUACAUGAAGAUGCUGACUAAAAUAACACUGUACUUUCAAGUACAUAGCCAAUUUCAAAGAAAGAAAUGGAAAUUCCCAGGUGGCAGAAGGGAAGACCAUUCAUUCUGAAGAUCUCUAGGUCAACUGUAACUAUAGUUCAGCUGAUCUAAACUGGAUUCAGCCAAACAGCUCUGCUUCAGGUUAAGGCUGGGCCGGGCUCCUGUGUUUCUGGACUCUGGUUUGCUCCAUGUGGUUCCUUUUGGGACCCAUGCCGAAGCUACCCAGGGUAUGCUCUUCUCACGGUGGGUUGUUGGAGCACAAGAGGCCAAAUGAAUUCAUACAAGCAAGGAAAUACUUGAAGAAAUAAAGGUUGGGAAUUUUCCAGUACUAAGGACAGACGCCAAGCCACAGAUCCAAGAAGUUCAGAGAACACCAAACAAAUCUAUGCACACACUAAGCAUUUCAAAAAUGCUAAAACAAAGAAUCUUAGAGGCCAGCCCAGAGGGAAAAUAACUUAUGAUAUACCGGGGAAGCCAAAAAUUACCAAAUGAUGCAAGACAGAAGACAAUGGAGUGACCAGUGCUGAAAGAAGAAAACCUAUCAGCCCAGAGUCCCACACCCAGUGAAAAUAUCCUUGAAAAUAAAGGACAAAUAAAGCCUUUUCUAACUAAAAAAGAACUGGAGGAAUACAUUGCCAGAAGAUCUGUUUCUACAAGAAAUAUUGAAGUUCUUCAGGCAGAAGGAAUAUGAAACCAGACAGAAAUGUGAGCGAGCCUCCCAUGAAAUACAGAGUGCCGGAAAUGGAAUAAAUGAAAGCAAAAUUUCAAAAUUUUGAAUUGCCUUAAGUCUAAAGAGGUCAGCAAGCCUAAAAAGGAGCAGGUAAAUAUGUUAGGUUUUGCGUGUCCUCUUGCAAGCACUCUAACGCUGUGGCAUGAAAUGAGUCUUAGACAAUAGGUAGAUGUGCAAGGCUGUGUUUCAAUAAAACUGUGGACUCUGAGAUUUGAGUUUCAUGUAAUGUUUAUGUGCUACAAGUUAAUUCUUUUGACUUUUCCCCCCAAAUCAUUUAAAAUUGUUUUAAAGCCAUUCUUGGCUCAUGAGCCACCCUUUAGAAUGUGUAUUUAUAGCAUAUGUAAAAAUAAAAAAUAUGUAUACAUGAAUGGUGGUAUAUCUGUACAAUGAAAUACUGAGCAAUAAAAGGAAUAACCUCAUCCAA